ensembl:lncRNA
CGGUUAGAAUGGAGAAAAGAAGCCAAGCAGGUCCUAUGACGUGUCUAACUGACGUAGGAGGAAUCCUCGAAAUGGGGAAGCCCAUCGGAGAGCAUACACCGGACUACUGUCCUCCUCACCCACCGCAGUGUAACACGAGAGCAUAGCUACUUCCGGGGUCACGUGAAUGGUAAAAUGGCGGCCCCAGUUUUGCCUGAGCUUUAGGAUGAAGGUCUUCCUCUCCACAUUGAAAGAAAUAUGGAAAGCAAGCAGGAAGUUCCAGUCCCACUCAGGAAAAGGCAGAGAGGAACAGGGCUCAAUCCAACACGGCUCAGAUACCGGCCAACGCUGUGUGCGCUGUCUGAUGGUUCUCCAAGCCUGGGACAUACGCCAUCUCACACUGGAGCAUGCUGGCCUGAGCGAACCUUUUCCCCUCCUUCAGGCUCCUUCAUCGACAGACGUAAACAUUCUCGUAAAGAACAUAGCUAAAUUAUUGUGCCAGACUUUCCUUGGAUUAUUUAGUCUCAUUACUACUGGUUUAAGAUGUGAACAGUUACAUGUUUCAGUGUUGAAUAUUCAUUUGACAAUCGGAGAAAUAAAGCUACAAUUAUAGGAUUUCACACACCAGCAGGAUACAAACAUUAAAUUCAAAUAAUGUUCAGGGCUCAGAAUGCAUAAAAAUUACAUUCAAACUUUGCACUGUCCUUAAAUAUAUACUAGUUUUAUGCAUUUAAUUCUGAAGUACAGUAUUUGGAAAAUUAAACAAGCAGUUUGCAUUUUUUGAGCCCUCUGCUGGCUGUGGAGAGAAUUACAACUAAUAAAAACACUUACAAGCCUUCCCAUCCCUCUGUUGAAACUUUCUGACUUUUUUGGGAUAUG